GCGGGUGCCCUGUGCCUUGGUGAGACGUCAGAGUCAGUUCGUAGGCCGCGGGAAAUGGGUUCGGAGGAGGUAGGUUCUGCGUUCGCGCGGUUCUGUUAUAUCUCCGUUCCUAGUGGUCGUGGCCGGGACUGAGGUGCUUUCGCAACGCGCUGUAAGGUGCGUCUGCGGCUCAYGCGCCCGCCCGUUGGGACAGCUUGCUGUGCCAGUGGGUUUUUGCGGUGUGUGAUGGUCGUGGUCGCCAACCUUUUGCCGUUCGGGACUCUGACGAAAUGGAGCGAUUCGGCCCGUCUUGAAACACGGACCAAGGAGUCUAACAUGUGUGCAAGUGUUUGGGUGUGGAAACCCGAGCGCGCAAUGAAAGUGAAGGGCAGCGCUGGUUGUCUGAGGUAGGAAACGUGUUUUCUCCGGAGAGCGCGUGGCACUAUCGACCGAUCAUGAACCUACGCGGUGAAAGAUUUGAGUAUGAGCACAUAUGUUGGUACCCGAAAGAUGGUGAACUAUGCCUGAGUAGGGUGAAGCCAGGGGAAACUCUGGUGGAAGCUCGAAGCGGUUCUGACGUGCAAAUCGAUCGUCAAACUUGGGUAUAGGGGCGAAAGACUAAUCGAACCAUCUAGUAGCUGGUUCCCUCCGAAAUUUCCCUCAGGAUAGCAGCAACUUAUUCCGAUAGUUUUAUGAGGKAAAGCGAAUGAUUAGAGGCUUUGGGGAAG
rnacentral:rRNA from 2 species